GCCUCAUUAGCUCAGUGCUUGGAGCACUGGUCUUGUAAACCAGGGAUCAGAAGUUCAAUUCUGUGAUGGGGCU